rnacentral:hammerhead_ribozyme from 1 species
AGCCGAAACGCCAGCACGGAGGCUUGGCGUCGCGGCGGGUGGUACCCGUCGCCUGACGAUGGCAGCCAACC